GGACUACUGGGGUAUCUAAUCCUGUUCGCUCCCCACGCUUUCGCUCCUCAGCGUCAGUACCGGCCCAGAGUGCCGCCUUCGCCACUGGUGUUCCUCCUGAUAUCUGCGCAUUUCACCGCUACACCAGGAAUUCCGCACUCCCCUACCGGACUCGAGUCAUGGCAGUAUCGAGUGGCCUCUCCGAGUUGAGCUCGGAGUUUUCACACCCGACUUGCCAAACCGCCUACGAGCUCUUUACGCCCAAUAAAUCCGGACAACGCUCGCCCCCUACGUAUUACCGCGGCUGCUGGCAC
rnacentral:rRNA from 1 species